rnacentral:rRNA from 1 species
ACAGCAGUCGCCGCGGGAAUACGGAGGGUGCAAGCGUUAAUCGGAAUUACUGGGCGUAAAGCGCACGCAGGCGGUCUGACAAGUCAGAUGUGAAAUCCCCGGGCUUAACCUGGGAACUGCAUUUGAAACUGUCAGGCUGGAGUCUUGUAGAGGGGGGUAGAAUUCCAGGUGUAGCGGUGAAAUGCGUAGAGAUCUGGAGGAAUACCGGUGGCGAAGGCGGCCCCCUGGACAAAGACUGACGCUCAGGUGCGAAAGCGUGGGGAGCAAACAGGAUUAGAUACCCCGGUAGUCCCUGUCUCUUAUAC